rnacentral:rRNA from 1 species
GAUAAACGCUGGCGGCGUGCCUAACACAUGCAAGUCGAACGAUCCCGCAAGGGAGAGUGGCGGAAGGGUGAGUAACACGUGGGAAUCUACCUCCUCGCAGGGAACAACCUCUCGAAAGAGAGGCUAAUACCCAAAAGGGUCAGAAAUGAUCAGAGUCGAAAGGCGUGAGGAGAGGAGCCCGCGGCCCAUCAGCUAGUUGGUGAGGUAAUGGGCUUACCAAGGCUACGACGGGUAGGGGAUCUGAGAGGAUGUCCCCCACACUGGAACUGAAACACGGUCCAGACGCCUACGGGGUGGCAGCAGUGAGGAAUAUUGGACAAUGGGCGAAAGCCCGAUCCAGCAACGCCGCGUGGAGGAUGAAGG